UUCAUCAUCUAUUUCCCACUCUGUUUUUAGUAACAGAAUUUAAAAAUCAGCAAAGUAUAUAACUAAUUUAAAUAACAUGUUUUGAAUAUAUUUAGCAUACCUUGAGCAGAGAACAUAUAUUCAUCCUCGUUAGUGUCUUGUUCAAAUAUCACUCCAUCAUUGUCUGCACAUUAAUGUUUUUAAUUUAUAUUAGUUCUCGGUUUCAUAAGCACAUAAAUAAUAUCUUUAUAAACAUACCCUGAUCUUCAUUGUAGGCUGAUAUUGGUGCAUCUUUGUUUUUGGUAGUUGGACACAUUGAAGAGGGAAUAUCUGUCCAAGAAGUAUGAUUGUUUGUGGCCCAUCUUUAUUUUUGGUGAAAGUGGGAAUAUCUGUCAAAGAACCUGUCCAAGAAGCAUGGUUGUUUGUGGUUCAUCUUUGUUUUUGGUAGCUGGACACAUCGAAGCGUGAAUAUCUGUAAAAGAACCAUGGUUAGUUUUACAUGAGCUUGUAAUUUGUAUUGAGGCGUCAAAAGUAUCAUAUAAUUAUAGUGUUACCAUUAAUGAUGGCUUGUAAAUGUGGACGCCCCCUGUUGUCAUCUCCAUUUCUCAGUUUGGAAGUCCCUUCUUUUGAUGACAUAGCAGCAUUUUCUAUUUUUCUUAUGAAUUCUUCAUUGCGACGGUGUAGCAAUGUUUUUU